rnacentral:rRNA from 1 species
GUGUGACUGCGUACCUUUUGUAUAAUGGGUCAGCGACUUAUAUUCUGUAGCAAGGUUAACCGUAUAGGGGAGCCGCAGGGAAACCGAGUCUUAACUGGGCGUUAAGUUGCAGGGUAUAGACCCGAAACCCGGUGAUCUAGCCAUGGGCAGGUUGAAGGUUGGGUAACACUAACUGGAGGACCGAACCGACUAAUGUUGAAAAAUUAGCGGAUGACUUGUGGCUGGGGGUGAAAGGCCAAUCAAACCGGGAGAUAGCUGGUUCUCCCCGAAAGCUAUUUAGGUAGCGCCUCGUGAACUCAUCUUCGGGGGUAGAGCACUGUUUCGGCUAGGGGGUCAUCCCGACUUACCAACCCGAUGCAAACUACGAAUACCGAAGAAUGUUAUCACGGGAGACACACGGCGGGUGCUAACGUCCGUCGUGAAGAGGGAAACAACCCAGACCGCCAGCUAAGGUCCCAAAGUCAUGGUUAAGUGGGAAACGAUGUGGGAAGGCACAGACAGCCAGGAUGUUGGCUUAGAAGCAGCCAUCAUUUAAAGAAAGCGUAAUAGCUCACUGGUCGAGUCGGCCUGCGCGGAAGAUGUAACGGGGCUAAACCAUGCACCGAAGCUGCGGCAGCGACACUAUGUGUUGUUGGGUAGGGGAGCGUUCUGUAAGCCUGCGAAGGUGGCCUGUGAGGGUUGCUGGAGGUAUCAGAAGUGCGAAUGCUGACAUAAGUAACGAUAAAGCGGGUGAAAAGCCCGCUCGCCGGAAGACCAAGGGUUCCUGUCCAACGUUAAUCGGGGCAGGGUGAGUCGACCCCUAAGGCGAGGCCGAAAGGCGUAGUCGAUGGGAAACAGGUUAAUAUUCCUGUACUUGGUGUUACUGCGAAGGGGGGACGGAGAAGGCUAUGUUAGCCGGGCGACGGUUGUCCCGGUUUAAGCAUGUAGGCUGGUUAUCCAGGCAAAUCCGGAUAAUCAAGGCUGAGGUGUGAUGACGAGGCACUACGGUGCUGAAGUAACAAAUGCCCUGCUUCCAGGAAAAGCCUCUAAGCAUCAGGUAACAUCAAAUCGUACCCCAAACCGACACAGGUGGUCAGGUAGAGAAUACCAAGGCGCUUGAGAGAACUCGGGUGAAGGAACUAGGCAAAAUGGUGCCGUAACUUCGGGAGAAGGCACGCUGGUGUGUAGGUGAAGCCCCUGCGGGUGGAGCUGAGACCAGUCGAAGAUACCAGCUGGCUGCAACUGUUUAUUAAAAACACAGCACUGUGCAAACACGAAAGUGGACGUAUACGGUGUGACGCCUGCCCGGUGCCGGAAGGUUAAUUGAUGGGGUUAUCCGUAAGGAGAAGCUCUUGAUCGAAGCCCCGGUAAACGGCGGCCGUAACUAUAACGGUCCUAAGGUAGCGAAAUUCCUUGUCGGGUAAGUUCCGACCUGCACGAAUGGCGUAAUGAUGGCCAGGCUGUCUCCACCCGAGACUCAGUGAAAUUGAACUCGCUGUGAAGAUGCAGUGUACCCGCGGCAAGACGGAAAGACCCCGUGAACCUUUACUAUAGCUUGACACUGAACAUUGAGCCUUGAUGUGUAGGAUAGGUGGGAGGCUUUGAAGCGUGGACGCCAGUCUGCGUGGAGCCAACCUUGAAAUACCACCCUUUAAUGUUUGAUGUUCUAACGUUGGCCCCUUACCGGGGUUGCGGACAGUGUCUGGUGGGUAGUUUGACUGGGGCGGUCUCCUCCCAAAGCGUAACGGAGGAGCACGAAGGUUAGCUAAUCCUGGUCGGACAUCAGGAGGUUAGUGCAAUGGCAUAAGCUAGCUUGACUGCGAGCGUGACGGCGCGAGCAGGUGCGAAAGCAGGUCAUAGUGAUCCGGUGGUUCUGAAUGGAAGGGCCAUCGCUCAACGGAUAAAAGGUACUCCGGGGAUAACAGGCUGAUACCGCCCAAGAGUUCAUAUCGACGGCGGUGUUUGGCACCUCGAUGUCGGCUCAUCACAUCCUGGGGCUGAAGUAGGUCCCAAGGGUAUGGCUGUUCGCCAUUUAAAGUGGUACGCGAGCUGGGUUUAGAACGUCGUGAGACAGUUCGGUCCCUAUCUGCCGUGGGCGCUGGAGAAUUGAGGGGGGCUGCUCCUAGUACGAGAGGACCGGAGUGGACGCAUCACUGGUGUUCGGGUUGUCAUGCCAAUGGCACUGCCCGGUAGCUAAAUGCGGAAGAGAUAAGUGCUGAAAGCAUCUAAGCACGAAACUUGCCCCGAGAUGAGUUCU